UGUAUAAUCUGCCAUUAGGGCCUUUAAAGAAUGGUGAUAUGUGUUACUAUCUUCGACGAAAUUAACAGAUCUCGUUGAUGACGUAUUUCCUUCCCGUUCUUUGUCUGCUGUUGCAUCUAUAGUUUGUUUCUGUUUCUUGUGAUAUUUUGUGUGCAUUUUCGAUACAAAAAUUUGGAAAAAAGUGCUGGUACUUACAAAAUUUCUCUCACAAUAGAUUCUGGAAUUACAGUUUUAUCUGUUGUGCAGUAUUUUAUUAUUGAGUAUCGGAUUAUUUUUAUGAUUUCCAUCGAUUAAGUUACGAAGUUACACAUUGGGAAUACAUUUCUUCCUGCCUCUAUCAAACGAACUUUCCUAUAGCAAUUCAAGCUACGGAGAGCGUAUUACCUUCCAAAGUCUUAAAGGGCCUUGUUGUUUAGAGCUUCAAUUAAGAGUCAUGAAAGUGACUUCCUCUCCUGGGAAUAAGGAUAUUGAUCACAGCAUGAUGUGGAUUACUAAAGAAUGAAUUUGCAACAUGUAAAUAAUUACUUUUCGGACACGUUUGGAGUUCUAGGAUUAGAAGAUUAUCCAACAAAUGCAGUUAAUUUUGGUUCUACUGAAACAGCUAAUGUUUUUAAUGUCUUCACCGUGCACAACAUUAUGCGGUUAAUUUUGAACUUGCAAGGUGGGAGGCAACUGAAUAUUAAUUUGGAAACUACUGAAUUCAAAUUGUCUGUAGUGCUAUAUCUCCAUAAUUUGGCUUGCUCAUCACCCUUGUAUACUCUAGAACGCUACUUUCUGCAGUUAAUUAAGAUUUUCCAUGUGAAGGCGAAUUAAAGAUUAGUGUGGUCAUGCAACCGAUGUCCACAUGGGUGGCGUUUUCCUGCACUUUAUUGUUGAUUUGCUGUUUUCGUUUGAAUUUGAUCCUGCAGUUAAUUAAGAUUUUCCAACAAGUGAAAGAGAAUUAAAGAUCAGUUUGGUCAUUCUGAAACAAUCAAUGUCUACAUGGGUGGCGUUUUCCUGGACUUCACUGUUGAUUUGCUGUUUUCGUCUUCACUUUCCAACAUUAUGCAGUUAAUUCUCAACGGAGGAGUGAGAGCACCUGGAGAUUUUAUUUGCUUUUCACAUCUGCAAACUUUGGAACAUUACAAUUUACAGUUAAUUAAGGUGAGAAUGCUUGAUAUUAUAAUUAAUUUCAAUUGCUCUUUAUUAAUCUGUUACCACCGUAUCUGUUUCAGAUCGACGUGGGAAAAGACAAAGAAGAUCCCAUAGUUAAAAUACUUUAUCUUGCAUGUUCUAUUAGACACAAUUAGAAUUUUUUAUUUUGCAUGGUUUUUGUAGUUCAUUUUAUUUGAAUUAGUUUUUUAUUUUGCAUGCUUG